AUUGAACGCUGGCGGCAUGCCUUACACAUGCAAGUCGAACGGCAGCACGGGUGCUUGCACCUGGUGGCGAGUGGCGAACGGGUGAGUAAUACAUCGGAACGUACCUUAUCGUGGGGGAUAACGCAGCGAAAGCUGUGCUAAUACCGCAUACGCCCUGAGGGGGAAAGCGGGGGAUCGAAAGACCUCGCGCGACUAGAGCGGCCGAUGCCUGAUUAGCUUGUUGGUGGGGUAAAAGCCCACCAAGGCGACGAUCAGUAGCUGGUCUGAGAGGACGAUCAGCCACACUGGGACUGAGACACGGCCCAGACUCCUGCGGGAGGCAGCAGUGGGGAAUUGUGGACAAUGGGGGCAACCCUGAUCCAGCAAUGCCGCGUGAGUGGAGAAGGCCUUCGGGUUGUAAAGCUCUUUUGUCAGGGAAGAAACACCGGCUCUAACACAGUCCGGGAAUGACGGUACCUGAAGAAUAAGCACCGGCUAACUACGUGCCAGCCGCCGCGGUAA
rnacentral:rRNA from 1 species